GUAAGCAUCCCCUCGUCCAUCUCCUUCCUGGACCUGCGGCCCCUGAACACAGAGGCCCCAGGCAGGUAGCGGCCGUGUCACCGGCAGCCAUCAGGCUUUGGCGUUGAACACCUGCCCGGUGAGCUCGGGUGCCCUGUGGAUUCCUGGCUCGCCCUGCCUGUGUGUCCUUCUCAGCGCUCACUCCACCACUGUGCACGAUGGCUCGACAUCCUUUUAAGCCUCUGAAGAGACACUGAGAUCAUAAGAGCACACUGAGUCACUGAGUCACCACGCGGAGGACAGUCACUCUGUGGCUGUGGCUGGAACUUGGAAACAUCCUGAAAAUGAAAGCCAGUCUCUGCCAGGGGCUGCAAAACGGUGCGGUUAGAGUCCGAAAAGAGGGACGUCAAGGCUGCUGUGAACACGUCCAGGUGCAGACGGACUGGGCCUGGGCUUGCUUCUCUGGCUGGGUCUCCAUGGGAAACAUCCUAUGGUGAGGUCCUCAGCCUGCGCUUUGUGUCAGUAAAUUCCUCAAACAUAAACACUUCCUUGGCCGGAAGGAAGUCACCUGGUGGGGCCUGCGAGCAGAGUCCUGGAAGACGCAUCAACUCAACAGCGGCCCUGAAGGACCAGGGUGACCUGCUAAUGGGAAGCUCACGGUCCUCGCCUCCCCAGGAGUCACACAGCGGAUGCGGGACUUCCUCGUCUGGACGAAUAUUCUGGGUACAUACAUCUUUCUCAAUAAAGGAGUGUUGAGACCACAGGAACGAUCUAGAAUGCUGCCUCCUUUGUCUGCCAGGCUUUUUUCCUGAAGUUCUGCCUUCACAUUUAUCCUAAUUCUAAUCACUUUCUGUGAAAAUCUCUGCCUAUGCGGGAGCCACAGCUUUCUUUCAACGAUUUUCUGAGUUGAAUCUACUCCAUCUUCUCUUUAGUACCUGCUAAUUCAGCAGCACUUACCCUCUCCCUCUGUGUCCCAGGUGUGAGUAAGUCACUGGGAACUCACGAUGCUCAGGACGUGGCCUCUGCCCCGGCAGCCUGGCUCUACGGCGGGGUGGAUGCACCGACACUCAUGUGGUCAGGGGUAG
rnacentral:lncRNA from 1 species